AAGCUUCUUAAUAUAAAAAGACUAAAGAAGAACUUAGUCAUCAAAAUAUUUAUUUUUACAAGUGCCCCAUUAUGGUAGCUGGGGACUUCACCAAAAGAUCCCUUUAAAUUGUCAAGGGAUGAUACUACCAUUCAAGUAAAAAAAUAAAAACUUAAUCGAAACACAUUAAAUUUGUCACUGAAGGGGUUGGAACAUCAAAAGUUGUAAUCUCACUUUCAGAGGUAAUAACACGCAUGGUAACAACUUCUGAGGGAGCAGCAACAGGAGCAGUUUC
rnacentral:lncRNA from 1 species